rnacentral:rRNA from 1 species
GAUGAACGCUGGCGGCGUGCCUAAUACAUGCAAGUCGAGCGAACGGACGAGAAGCUUGCUUCUCUGAUGUUAGCGGCGGACGGGUGAGUAACACGUGGAUAACCUACCUAUAAGAAUGGGAUAACUUCGGGAAACCGGAGCUAAUACCGGAUGAUAUUUUGAACCGCAGGGUUCAAAAGUGAAAGACGGUCUUGGUGUCACUUAUAGAUGGAUCCGCGCUGCAUUAGCUAGUUGGUAAGGUAACGGCUUACCAAGGCAACGAUGCAUAGCUGAGCUGAGAGGGUGACCGGCCACACUGGGACUGAGACACGGCCCAGACUCCUACGGGAGGCAGCAGUGGGGAAUCUUCCGCAAUGGGCGCAAGCCUGACGCAGCAACGCCGCGUGAGUGAUGAAGGUCUUCGGAUCGUAAACCUCUGUUAUUAGGGAAGAACAUAUGUGUAAGUAACUGUGCACAUCUUGACGGUACCUAAUCAGAAAGCCACGGCUAACUACGUG